GACUCUUGUGGAGAACGAUUCACGUCCGCUAGAUGGCAACCAAACUCCCCAAAUCAUGUGAUUUCUUGUUGAUAAUUGUCUGAAGGCCGAGUUGACGGUCAAGAUUUGGUUCAAAUGGUUUCUUCAGUUCGGAGUUCAUCCUUUCAACCAGUAUCUACUCGGUCGUCAUGGAAACAGCCAGGAUGCUGGGUACAACAAGGGAAAGUGAGAGAAGGUGAGGGACACAGGAAAAAAAAGUGUCUGAAGGUCGCUCACAGAUUAAAGGUU
rnacentral:lncRNA from 1 species